UGCCUACUGCUGCGUUGCGAAAGAUUCAUCUUACGUAAUAUUUAUGAACUUACGUAAACAGCAGCGCACAGACCUACGUCCGACAUCAAUAUUCACAGAAUCUUCUGUAAAAACUUUCUCGCCUUCGAGCAGUGCCUUCGGUUAUUUUCGCCGCGGGGCGCGAUCCCACUGACUGGAACUCAAUCCGAUCUGCUGAGAGAGAUUGGUUACUGCUCAAGAAGGACGCACUCAAAGCGCCGUUUAAUCUGGAAUAAGUUUACCUUCUACUACACGCCGUUACAAGCAAGAAGACAUCUGUCUUCGGACUCACCGCAGUGAAAACUUCAAAGAGUCAAUCAAGGCUAAUUUCAUGGCAUGGCAUGUAUGGCUUUAAUAAAUCUGUGUCUCCUAACAUUCAUAAUUAAAAUCACCUACAUAUUAAACAAAAAUAAAUUAUAGAUGUACUUACAUAAUGUACGAGGUCGUAGGUUUUGUGGAUGACAUUUACAAAGCUGCAGAAAUUGCCAUUAAAACUACCAAUAUACAGAACUGCAUUACCGAGCACAUCAAAUCUAAACAAAAAUUUGAUAUCAUGAAAUCAGAAAAUAUGUUCCUCUUCCUGUUUUUAUUCAUUUUCUGUAUAAUACGAGGAAGCAAAACCAGGAACCGUUGAUGUAAUGCAGCUCUUAAAGGCAACGUAAACUAGCUGAUAUUCCAAGCACCGUAUUCGCAGCGAAUGUAUACUUAAGACGUGCUUGCCAUUCCGAAACUCAAAGCCGUCCGGAGAUAGGGAUUAGCUCUAUCUAGUGGGCCCAACUGUGUAGGAACCUGAAGACGGAGAUAGAGUCCCAUCUCCGAAACGUCUUUUUUACGUUUUAUAUUUACUAGACGAUGGAUAAUAUCCAAGAAAAUUUUUAUUCAACAGUCUGGAGACGUUCUUGUCAAUAUAGCCCACAAGCAACAGCUUUCUUGAGAACGGAGCACACCAACCAUCGUGGAACUGACUGAUACGAAGUAAACAAGUGAACGCACUCACAGGUUCAACUGCAAAUACCAACUGCAUUAAUAAAAUAAUCCCACAUAUAAAAGACGCUGCGCAGUAUUACAAUGUACCUUAAACUAUUUUAAUUUUUAACUAAAAGUUCAGGUGUGAAAAGGAUGUGAUUUCACAAACAUCUGAAAAAGUUGUCAGUGGAACCAGGGUUCCGGAGAAUUUGACGUAAAUACGUCUAUACG